CAUACCAGAACUUAUGUGACUGUCAUCUUCAAAGAGGAACCCCUGGCAGGCCCUGUUCCACAAGCAGUGUCCCUGUUCACACUUUAUUGGAUUCCUGUUGGGAGUUUCCUUCAUUCUCGUGAAGAAAGUCACUAACAGUGUGUUACUGCCACUUGCCAGUAUUUACUGCACUGCUUGGUUGUACCAGGGAAUUAAUACUGAAUCCUGAACUGAUGAAUAUGAAUACUACAAGCCUGGUCUUCACAGCCUUCACAAUUUUAGGAAGAAGGGAAGACAUAUGAAACGGAAAUUCUGUUGGGAAACUCAUGGAGGACAGUUUGGCGUCUCAGAGGGUAUACUGUGGUCUGUUGCAAAGAAACCAGAGGACAUGGGCUGAAGUUCUCAAAAUGCAUGGCAGGCUUCCAGGUCCCUCUUGGGAGGCUCUACAACACUGAGUUGACUUUGCUACUGUAGGAACCAAGGAUUACCUCCUCCUUCGUUGCUCUCUCUCUGCUCCCCACAGCUGUUGUCAUAAUAGAGGUAUCAUUGUCUUUCUUCCCUAUAUAUGCAACAAUUUUAUUUGCAUUAUUUUUAAUCACUAUUGAAAAUCUGAUCUGUAAUCUAGAUGUUACCCAGUUUACAGCUGUAUAAAAGUCACUAGCUGGUGGGUAGCAGAACCAAGGAUUCAACCUGGGUCUUUCUGGCCACUGAGCCUGCCCUUUUUCCAUUGUCCUCUGGCCUCG